rnacentral:tRNA from 1 species
UGGCUCAGUGGUAGAGCGCUUGCCUCGCAUGCAAGAGGCUCUGAGUUCGAUUCCUCAG